AUCUGCUCAGCGAGUUGUCAGGAGCGGCCUUUAUCUUCUCUUCAUCCUCCACCGUCUUCUACCUUAUCUCUUUUCUCUUAUGUCUCUCUCUUUCUCCCUUCCUUCUCUCCUGGGCGAGCAGGCGCCGGUGGCCCGCAGGGUGGCGAUCCCCACGGCGCGCGGCGUCCCCCGGACGGCCGCAGCAUCGGAGACGUGUGCGCGGGCGCGGCCACGAGUGCGGCCAGGCCGCGGUUCAGUUCCUGCUCAAGGUUUGCUCAACUCUGAAGGUGACGGUGGACAUGUACGGGAAGCAGAAGUGGGCGGCCGACGGUGGAGGCCCUGGCGACCUCUUUAACUAAUGUGCCGUAGUAUUUUUUUUAGAUAGUUGAAUGUUGAAUCUCUCAUGUUGUAUCGGUUGAAUCUCUCCUGUAAUUUUGGGUCUUUGUGAUUUUGGCUUGAAUGUUGUAAACUUUGUGCCAUAAUUUUUUUUCUUAUAUGUAGUUGUUGAAUCUGUUCUAGUUGAAUCUCUCCUGUUGUAUAAUUUGUCUUUUA